UUGACGCUGGCGGCAUGCUUUACACAUGCAAGUCGAACGGUAACAGGGUGCUUGCACCGCUGACGAGUGGCGAACGGGUGAGUAAUGCGUCGGAACGUGCCGAGUAGUGGGGGAUAACGCAGCGAAAGUUGUGCUAAUACCGCAUACGUACUGAGGUAGAAAGUGGGGGCCCUUCGGGCCUCACGCUAUUCGAGCGGCCGACGACUGAUUAGCUAGUAGGUGAGGUAAAGGCUCACCUAGGCGACGAUCAGUAGCGGGUCUGAGAGGAUGAUCCGCCACACUGGGACUGAGACACGGCCCAGACUCCUACGGGAGGCAGCAGUGGGGAAUUUCGGACAAUGGGCGAAAGCCUGAUCCAGCCAUGCCGCGUGUCUGAAGAAGGCCUUCGGGUUGUAAAGGACUUUUGUCGGGGAGGAAAUCCCCAGCGCUAAUACCGCUGGGGGAUGACAGUCCUGAAGAUAAGCACCGCUACUCGUGCCACACCGGGUAUUCGUAGGGUGCAAGCGUUAUCGAAUUCUGGCGUAACGNCC
rnacentral:rRNA from 1 species